CGGCAUCUGCUGUACCUGUUCCCGCUGCCUUCAUCUCGCCUUGGAACCGUGACAAGAGCGCACUCGCCUCUGGUGGGCUCUCAAAGCCGCGGGUCUGUAACCCUUUGCAGGAAGUUGGCACCGAUCCCAGGAAUUAUUUGCCUACGUGGAGCUCGGCGCUGCGGGAGAACAGAGCAAACAGCCUUAUCGAGGGCAGCUGUGCCACAGGGCACUUCCUCAUGCAUGGCUGCAAGAUGGGGCCCUCCACGGCUGCGGGGGAGGGCUGGCAGCCCCUGGCCUUCCCACUGACCAGACACCAGGGACACACCAGGCACCAUCGGGAGAGCUCUCAGGGAUGCUUCCCUCCCGCUCCACGGCGGGAGAGCAGCACGGCCAGGAGGGGUUUGGACUGAACUGAAGGGUGUUCAGCAGGACAGCUCUGCAGGGGAAAGGGGAGGAUGGAACAGUCGCUCCGAGCUCAGCUGCACUUCCCUGGGCACAAAAGCCCAUCUCGCUGCUUCCCAGAUCCUGCCAGACUCGAGCAUCCAAAGCCCAGUGGAGAGACAGACCAGCCUUGACCUGAGAUUCCCUCUCCUGGCUGCUGUCGCUGCCGCCCUUCUCCCCCAGGCAGCUGGGAGCAGAUGAGGCCAAAGUCUCGGCAAUCUCAGUUUUCCACUGGAGGCUGAUAAACAGCACGGAACAGCAGCGAUCCCCACCCAGCCUGGCUUUGUGCAGGAGAGUCAAUAUUUAAACCAGGGUUUGUUUCCUGGGCAGACAGGGGAGCGCCAGUGGGAGAAACCCUCGGCUCCAUCCUGGGUGCCAGAUCCAAACCUCCUCCUCCACCCCUUCAUUUGUUCUCCCGACCACCACAUGUUCCAGUCUGGAUCUCCUCUCCUGUGGGAAUGGGGCCCCAUUCCCUUCAGCUGGGAUACCUGAGCACCAGCUGCAGGGCCAGGCACUGACUAAUGGGUAGCAAUUUCAGGGAGAGGGAUGCCCAGCCAGGUUUGGGUUGUCUCCUUGCCUGCUCCUCGUGCAGAGUCCUUGUAGUGGGGCCCCUCAAAUGAAACAUGGGACAAGAAUCAGGGAUAGAAACAGGAGGUGAGGAAAUGUUCAAUCAUCCUUAGAAUGGCAGCCCUUUGCUUCAAAGUAAGGCAGUGCACUGAAAGCUUUGAAACCUGAUUUUCAUUUAAACUGCAAAAAAUACAGUCAACUGUUGGGUUUUCAGCCAAGUUUGGGAGCCCCGAUGAACUGGGCAGAAAUUACUGGCAGGAUGCAUGCACUGGUGCAGCUUUAGGUAAAUCCCUUAGGUGAAUUCCUUAGGUAAAUUCCUCAAAGGACAGGAAAUAGCACUUUCCCUGCAGUGGCUGCAGUCAGGCUGUGCAGAGGCUGCAGGUUUCACAGGCAUGUGAACAGCAGAAGGUGGCUUUAAUUUGGAGGGUAAAGAUUCAUGUACUUGAGCAGGUGCUGUGUGACCUGGCAGAUGCAAUGCCCUGUGUUGGAGCAGGUCAUAAACCAAGGUGAUAAAAGGCCAGUGGGGAAGGAUGGAGUUCUGAGGGAAAGAUGGAAUUGCUGAGCCCACCUGACUGGUCUGACAGCAGCAAAGGGUCUCCAUCACCCCUUCCAGAUCUCAGGGUCAAUUUUAACUCCAAAAACCGAAUUCCACAUCUAUUGUUUCAAGCACCCAAGCCCUCUGCUGCCUCCACCCUCACUCCAGGCAUACCCACUGCAGUUUGCUCAGCCUAUAUAUGCCUACCUUCCAUGGAGGUGAGGAAAAUCAGAGGAAAUCUGAGUUUUAAACAGCUGUUUUAGGCCCUCAGUUGAAGAAAAGACCAAAGGAAGUGCCUGUCUUAAAUUGAAACCUUCCCUGAGGGAGCAUGUUAUACAGG